AUGCUGAAAUCUACACAAGUGAUCCUAAUCUUCAUUUUACUGAUUUCAAUUGUCGAAAGCUUGUCAUGGUUAGCACUCGGGCUUGCUGCCAACCGAUUUGACAGAGAUAAACCGGGAACGUCAUGUAAAUCACUGAAAGGGCUCACCAGGAGGCAGAUGAGAUUCUGUAAAAAGAACAUUGACUUAAUGGAAAGUGUUCGUUCGGGAUCUCUCGCUGCUCAUGCUGAAUGCCAAUUUCAAUUUCAUAAACGCAGAUGGAAUUGCACUUUGAUCGAUCCGGUGACUCAUGAAGUCAUCCCGGACGUUUUUCUCUAUGAAAACACUAGAGAAUCGGCAUUUGUACAUGCAAUUUCGUCAGCUGCUGUUGCUUAUAAGGUUACCCGAGAUUGUGCUAGAGGAAUAAGUGAACGAUGCGGUUGUGACUACUCGAAAAACGAUCACUCAGGGAAAAGUCAAUUCCAAUAUCAGGGCUGCUCGGACAAUGUUAAAUUUGGAAUUGGUGUCUCCAAAGAGUUUGUUGAUUCCGCUCAACGGAGAGUUUUGAUGAUGAAGGACGAUAAUGGAACAAGUCUUCUGGGACCUAGCCAGCUGUCUGCCGAUGGAAUGCAUAUGAUUAAUUUGCAUAAUAAUCAAGCUGGAAGACAGGUCCUCGAAAAGUCUCUUCGUCGAGAAUGCAAGUGUCAUGGAAUGAGUGGAUCUUGUGAAAUGAGGACUUGUUGGGAUUCAUUACCAAACUUCAGGCAUAUCGGAAUGGCAAUCAAGGAUAAGUUCGAUGGAGCUGCCGAGGUUAAAGUCGUCAAAGAGGAUGGUAUUGAGAAACCUCGAAUCGUGAUGAAAAAUUCUCAGUUCAAGCGACACACUAACGCGGAUCUGGUCUACAUGACUCCAUCCCCCGACUUUUGUGAAUCUGACCCACUACGUGGCAUACUCGGAACCAAAGGUCGUCAGUGCACUCUUGCACCGAAUGCGAUUGAUGACUGCAGUUUGGUAAAAUUUUAAAUACACAGAAAUGGGUUUCUAUUUUUGCACCUAUAAUUAUUAGGGCUCCCAUGAGGUCGUCUCGCCGGCCUCAAGCCGCCAUUCACGCCGCAUGUAUCCGAAUGUGCAAUGUGUCGGCCGCUUCCAAAUGACUACCUUUUUGAACUGCGCACACACAGCGGCGAACGGCAUCGGCGUGAGGCUCGCAUUUCGCCCCUCACUAAGCUGGGGGCCCUACACCCAAUAGUAGCCAGUCGUUCCCUCACCGUAAGAUAUCCAGAAAUGGAUGGAAAUUUAUAAAAACCUAUUUAUUGGCUGGGGCUGGUGUAGUAACUGUUUUAGAUCCAGUGAAUAUCCAUUUAAAUCUCCCAAAGUUAAUAUUAUUUUGCAAUUUUUACAAGUUUCAUUUUCAGCUCUGUUGUGGUCGUGGAUACGAGAAGAAGGUGCAAAUAGUCGAGGAGAAGUGCAAUUGCAAGUUCAUCUACUGCUGUGAAGUACGAUGUGAGCCAUGUCAGAAACGAAUUGAGAAGUAUUUAUGCUUAUAA